GGAGAAAGUUCCAGAUGGUGGCUAGUCAAUAAGCCUGGGUACCCAAGUGAGAACAGCAUGUAGCACAUCCCCCAACCAAAUCAUGAUGGACAUGGAGAGCAAGAAAGAAAGAAACUUUGCUGUUUGAAGACACUAAGACUUGGGGGUUGUUACUGAAGCAUAACUUGGCCCAUCCUGAUGGAUAUAAUCAUCCUACGUUAUGGAAACCCUAUCCCAGACUUAAACAAGUUAUAUUUUGCCAUUGCCCCCUGUAUUUUCUCCUAGAAGCCUACCUGCACAGUUGACCUCAGUGGGAGCCUUUCCGGUCCUUAAAGAUUUCAUGGCACCUUAUUCCUAGAAUUCCGUCUCCAAAAUAAUCUACUCACAACAUUCCACUCCUGGGGAAAGCCACUCCAUUUCUCCUUUUCCAAAAGUCCAGCAAAAGUCCCCACUGGAGUUUGAUGGAAAGGUGUGUAAUCUAUCACACAUCCUAUAUUGUUCCCUUUUUCCAGCUCCCAGCCCUGAAGGAUGCAGGGCCCGGCGGGGCCCCCUGGCCACUGAGGGAACAGGAGUCACCCAGUCGCGAUGUUCUGACAGCUUGUCACAUUAUUUUUCCCUGUGGGGGCUCUGCUCCCUCCAUCUAACCUUCUUCUCUGUCCCCUGAGACCAGAGGCCUCUAUACAAGGCCUCCGAGGCAAAGCAAAGCAAGAUUGAUGCCCUACGAAUGGCCAUGCCCGGGAGGGCUCGCGGUUCAAUGCAUAGAGCAGCCCAUUCUUCCCCAUUUCAGGUUCCCACACUGGACACCAAAGCAGGAGCUCAGAGCCAGGGCAGCAAGAAUUCAACCUUUGUUCAUCCUCCAAACACAAAUGAUCCACCACAUUCCCCAAUCUCUCCAACACAGGCCCUCGCACCUCGCCUACUCAAAAUCUUUCUGAAGGUGUCCCAGGCCCUUUGGACAGAGGAGCUGGAAUCAAAAGGCCAUAGCCUGUCACCAUGCAGUUUAUCAGCUGUCACUCCAUCUCGAUUCUGAGUGACGUGAGAUCAAUGGCGUAAAACUGCUCUCAGAUCUAUAGAGAAAUUUAUAACACCAGGCUCCACCGUGUCCUGGCUGGGCCUGGGUCCCAGGGUUCUGAGGCAGAGGCUGCCAUGCAGACUUCAUUUCCAUUUCAAAAGUGGAUUGUGACCCACUUAAAGCAAGUGAGUUCAAGCUGUCAGAUGCAACGGAAAACCCAAGUCAGAAGUCUUCUGCACUUACAGAACAAUGACUUUGAGGGGGAAGAAAAAGACUAGCCAAUGAUUAAAAUUCUCUCUGCCUAGAAAAGGCUUUAGCGACCUGCCUUAAUUUCUUUUAAGUCAUGUGGGAUUUAUUAAUAACCCUAAAUUUGUAGCAACAUGUUUUAGGCUCUGAGACCAAUUAAUCCAUCCAGUUUAUGUAACUAUGGAACUCCUGCAUGUAGUUUAGGCACAGAGUUGUGGUCUUCACUGCAGGUUUACUUCAUUACCCCCAACCUCUUUUUCCCCCAGGAACUCUGUAAUCUCUUCUAAUUCUGCCUCAAAGUGCCCAAGCACCAUAAAUAAGGUCUAGGAACCCAGGCCACAUCCCAUAUCCCACACCCUCCAGCCAAAAGGCUCCAGGGAAAUUUUAAAUUUCUCCCUCAAACACAGUGAAUCCUUGGGGUGAUAAGGGAAACACCCCUGGGCCAUGGACAGCUGUAGAACAUCCCACUUCCACCCCACCAUCAUUUGUCAAGGACAAAUGUCCAACAGAAGAUACACCGAGGUGCCACUGGAUUUGCUCGUGGAUGAACCCAGAGAAGCCUCAACUUGCGAGAAAAAGUAAAUCCUCUCUCCUACCACUGUCCACCUGCAUUCUUCUUGAAACUAAACUCAAGAGAAGGCUCCCAGGAGGAACUGCAUUCUCCAGAGGACUGGUGAUGGCUGGAGAACACCAACCAGCAACUCCUACACUGCUUGCUUCAGCUCCUGGUUGGAGGGAGAUGGGACUUAUAGUAGGAAACACAGUCCUCAGGCUCAGCCCAUAGACGAACAAGUGUCAUCAGAGUGCACUCUUCUCUCCCCUUAGUCUCUUGGGAUUUGGCCUUACCGGUCACUGACUAGUCACUCUUCCCUAAACAGUUACUUGAGAUAAUUACCCUUGGCCUUCCUUCCAGGUCAAAGUUCCACCAGCGCAGGCUUCUUUCUCCACUUCCCUUUUCCUGCACCUGAUUUUCUUUCACAUUACUCUGGUGAGCCUAUUUAGGUCGGGGUGACAUCCUUCAACACUCUCCAUUGCCUUAAGGGUAAAACCCAAAUGCCUUAACAAGAUACACAAAGCACCCACCUGUUCACCCCGGCUUUCAUCACCUGUCUGUACUCACUAGGUCCUUUCAUAGAGCCUUACACCCCAGCUCUGAGACCUUUGUGUCACUUGCUGUUCCUCCUGAAAGAAAUGCUUUUUUCAUCUCCACCCCUGCCUUCUCCCUUUCUACCCCUAGUUAAUUUCUCUUCAUCCUUCAAAACUCAACUCAGAUAUCACCCAAAAGCUUUCCCUGAGUACUCCCAUUUCCCAGCACAACUGGGCCUCCCUCCUCUGGGCCCAUACGAUCAGGCAGAACAUACCUGUAGCCCUGUUCUUAGGCCCUGCGCCACAUGUCCAGGUAUUCCUCUUCCUCAAGAAGCCACCUGUGAUCAGCAGCGGUGUGGGCCUUCCUUACAGCACUUCUCACAUGCAUUCGCUGUCUGAUUACUCUUCUAUCUCCCCAUCCUCAGGGCUGGCAGGAUCUAGCUUUCUAUUUCAGAACAGUCUUACAUUUAUAGAAAAAUUGUAGUGCUGGUCCAGAGAGUUCCCAUAACCCCACGUCCCCUGUCAUUAACAUCUUACUCUGGCACUUUUGUUACAAUUAAUAGCUAAUAUUGUUAUUAUCUAAAGCCCACAUUUUAUUCAGAUUUCCUUUGUUAUUCUCUGAAGUCUUUUUUCUGUGCCACAAUACCACAUUACAUUUAGUCAUCAUGUCUCUUUAAGCUCUUGCUGUGGCAGUUUCUCAGAUUUUCCUUGUUUUUGAUUAUUUUGAUAGUUUUGAGGCAUACCGGUCAGUUUUUGCAAAAUGUCAUCUUUCAGUUUGGUUUUAUCUGAUGUUUUUCUCAUUAUGAGACUGAAGUGCUGUGGUCUUGAGGAAGAUCACAGAGAUAAAGUGCCAUUUUCAUCACCUCAGACCUAGGGUGCAUACUAUCAACAUGACCUAUCACUGUUGAUAUUGACCUUGAGCACCUGACCAAGGGAGUGUUUGACAGCUUUCUCCAUGUAAAGUUAGUCUUUUUCUCUCCACUCCAUACUGUAUUCUUUGGAAGAAAGUCACAAUCCACAUAGUCCAUACUUAGAGAGUGGGAAAUUAUGAUCCACUUUUAUGUGGGCACAGAAUCUACUACGUAAGUUCUUCAAUGGUCUUCCCUGUGGUAGAAUUGUCUCCUUUCCCAUUUAUUUAUUUGAUCAUUUAUUUUUAUCAGUAUGGAUACUUUAUUUUUUAAUCUCUGUUUCCACAGCAUUUAUCACAAAGUCUGGAACUUAGUAAGUUCUCAAUAAUGUUGGUUGAGAGAAUGAAGGUAUUAUGGACUGACCUCCGAAAAUCCGUAAGUUAAAGGUCUAACUCCUAGGACAACAGACUGACUGUAUUUAGAAACAGAGCCUUUAAACAGAUAAUUAAGAUUAAAUGAGAUCAUAAGGGUGGACUCUAAUCCAGUACGACUGGUGUCCCUUUAAGAAAAGGAAGAGAUACCGGGGGCUCAGCACACAGGGAAAAGGCCAUAUGAGGACACAGAGAGAAGGCGGCCAUCUGCAAGCCAAGAAGAGAGGUCUCAGGAGAAAUCAACCCUGUGGCACCUCGAUCUUGGACUUCGUGUCUCCAGAACUGUGAGAAAAUAAAUUGUUGUUGUUUAAAUCACCCAGUAUAUGGCAUUUGGUUACGGCAGCUCUAGCAGAGUAAUAGAGGGGUCAAACACUUUUUGUACCUUGGCUCAGUAUAAGUCAGCAGGAGGUCACCUGCUGCUUCUAGGCAUUCCAGGAGGGAAAGUCCCUUGAAAUAUUCUGCUCCUCCAGAAUUAUGGGCUCCUGUCCAUUAAAUAUCUGUAUCUGUAGGUGGCUUCAGUCAGAAUACAUGGCUUUUAUAGAAAUGACUAGAAAAAAAAAAAAAAAACUCUACUGAGAACUCCUUUUUGUCAACAUCUGAUCUCAACUAGCGAGUAAGGUACCAAAAGGUUUUGAAAUGACAUGAGGGCAUGAAAAUUCCUGGAACCCUCAGGUGACCACUGUCUCUUUCCUCUGGGAUCUAUAUACCUACAACAAUACCUAUUAUUUCCAGAGAGGAAUCAGGGAAUUGGGGAGACAGUUGUCACUAAAGCAAAGAAGCAGACAGGAAAUGGGAGAGUUAUUUUUCUUUCUGAACAAAUCCCUUGCCUAUAAAAUAAGAGGUUUAGAUUACAUAGUCUUUGAUGUUUCUUCCCUGUGCUUUAAAGGGAA
rnacentral:lncRNA from 1 species